AUGUCGCCGUUGGCCACGACGAGCACGGUGAUGGUGCGGCGCUUGUUGAUGUCCUGCGCCAGCCGCGUCUGCGUCAGCAGCUUGUUGAACUGCGAGUACUCCGGGUACGCCGCCAGGAUCUUGGUGAUGUUGUACCCCUCCGCCGCCGCCGCCAGGGCCAGCACCGCCAGCGCCACCAGCAACGCCCGCCGCCGCGCCUCCAUUAUCCUCUCCUCCUCGGUCGUUGCCGCUGCCGCGUCGGCGUCCGGAGCUUGGCCGCUAGCGCUAGCUCAGCUCGGGAUGGAGUGGGGUGGACUGGUGGAGAGCACUGAGCUGAGCGGAGCACCACUGAGUGAUGGUGUAAUGAUGGCCCAGUGCUGGCUGGGCUAUGUAGUAGGAGUACUGUGUGCACGUAGCGGCAGCGGGGUCUGGCAGGCAGGGACGGGAGUCGGUGGCGCGAGUGCCCCUGGAGCUGCGGGGUAA
rnacentral:rRNA from 1 species